rnacentral:lncRNA from 10 species
CUCAGCUCAUCAGGCAGGCGUCCUAGAGCUGAUAUUUAAGGAGAAAUCCAGAGGCUUAAGAAGUAGUCAAGAAAAAGGCAGCUCAGACAACGGGAAGGACAGAAGGGUUUGCAGAGAGUGAAAGGAGCCAACGCAGGAUAGGGCAAGCCAGAGCAAACAGCUCUGGGCUGGGGUGGAGGUGGACUCUGGCAAAUGGAGAAGAACUUGGGAUGGAACUAACUCUCUGCCCCACCAAGGGCAUGGGGAAUAGCAAAGCCAAAGGGGGGCCAUCAAUUUUAAGCAAGAUAUCUCUUGAGGAAGUACUCGCUGCCAAGGGAGUCCAUGUUUCAUCAGCCAGUGGGCAGAUUUGACUGGAUUGCCAAAAGGGCUGGCUGGCCUCCGGGCUGCCAAUCAUUCCCCAAACCCUGAUCGGGCAGUAAAAAACCCAUGUGGAAGAGGGUUAGGGAGAAACAGGAGGAACCACGAGCACACAGCCAUCUCUGAGCCACAGCAUUUAGGAAAAUGCUCUCAACUUGGCAUGAUUGCAAGGGUUAAGUGAUUUGCCCUAGGUCAUGAAGCUUCUAACUUGGACAAGUCCCAUCAUCUCCCUGGACCUCAGUUCCCCCAUCUGUAAGAGGAGGGAGUUGAACGGGAUGCUUUCUGCAGUUCUUGUCAGUGCAGACAUUCUGCAGGUCUAAUCAAGGGCUUCUGAUCUGCCAAUUUCAUCUCCCUGGAUUACUGUGGUUAUCUGAAGACAGGCCCAAGGGAACAACAGAGCCAGAGGGCUGAUCUGAGAAAGGCAGAGCCUGCUCCUCUUUGAGAGCCCCCUGGAGCCCUUGCAGAGGCAUCCCCAGGCUUAGGAGGCAUCACUAUACAGGAGAGUCCAUUCCAGUUCCAGCGGGGUCCUCACCCUACCCCUACUCCCUGGGAGUCACACCUGUGAGACACAGCCUCCACCCCACCCCAGUCCUGCAAGGCAUCCCUCUGGCUCCUGGAUGCCUCCUGGCCUCCUGCACCACCAGCCACAGCAUCACACAGAUGCUGGUCUGUUCUGCCCACAGCUCUUGGUGCAGGUCAGAUUCCUGAUCCUGGCUCCCUGCAUUUCAUUGUCAACCUAUGGCUGCACACACCACUGCAGAUGCUGAAGACACCGUCUUGGCCACAGGGAAGACUGUACUACUGAGACUACAAGACUGAGCCUGCCUUUUGAUUGGUCAAUGUUGCUUUUCCCUUGGUGGGAGAUGAACAAGAAAACAGACUGGGGACUCAAAACACACCAGGUGUUUAAUAGGUGGCUAAGUGAAUAGGCUUUCCAAAUUACAUGCCAACACAGCAGCUUGCCACAGCUUUCAGCCCACUGCUUGCACUAUGGUUUCUGGACUCAACAGAAAGGUCAAGGGAGUGCCAGCUGACUGUCACAUGGUCUGCAAGCCCCUGAUGGGAGGACCAAGUCAUCGACUCUAGCCUGCAUCUUAGCAUCUCCUGGGUUGAACUGACAAGCUGUUUCCAGCAUUCAGCCCCAGCAACUGUGAGUCCUGAAGCACUCCACUGUGCCCCUUGGCGAGCCUCUGCCUGCCCUCUUUAGCCUGACUCUGCUGUAGAUCAGAAAGGCAGGUUCAGGUCCUGGCCCUGGCACUGCCUUCCCAAGGGACUGGACUGGCUCCCUCCCCCAUGAGGAUAACUGCAGGGUGAUGGGGAGGUGAGUGCUUUGCCUCCUAGGAGGAAAGGCUACUAUGUGAUGCAAUGUCCACUCACUGUCAUUCCCAUAUUAGUACUGCACACAUCCCAGCACAGCAGCUUCAGAUACAUCCAGACACUUUCAGGGCUCCCCCCAGCCAGAUGGGAUGGCAUGGAACUGCUGGUGGCAACAGCAGAAGCACCUGUUGUGUGUGUGUGUGUGUUGCACAAGGACCCUUCUAGAGCUUGGCCCAUAUAUGUAUAGAAAACCACCUCUGAUGCUAUAUCUCCUAGUAAAUAGUGCUGUUUGUAAUAAUGUUUUACUCAGUGAUUACCAUAUGCAAGGUGUUAUACUAAACACUUGUCAUGACUUAUUAAUCCAGUGUUUCUCAAAGUGUGUCCCAAGGAACCCCAGCAGGAUCUCUGAGACCUUUUUCGUGUAUCUGUGAGGAGAGAACUAUUUUUAUAACAACUCUAACAUUUUCACUGUAAUGCUCUCACAAAUACACAGCAGAGUUUCCCAGAGCCUACAUGAUGUGAUACCAUAACACACUGAAUGACAGAGCAGAUAUGAGAACCCAGCUGUUUUCUAGUAAGUCAGACACUAAUCUAUACAAAUGUAAAGCAAUGUCACUCUUCUGUUUUUUUGUUUUACAAAAAAAUUAUUUUUCAGAAACAAUAUUGCUUAUGUUAACAUGCAAUCAGUUUUUUUUGUUUUUGUUUUUGUUUUUUUUUUUGAGACGGAGUCUCGCUCUGUCACCCAGGCUGGAGUGCAGUGGCACUAUCUCGGCUCACUGCAAGCUCCACCUCCCAGGUUCACGCCAUUCUCCUGCCUCAGCCUUCCGAG